CCGAAUAGACGGGUUUCUUUUGAUUUUGGAGAAAUAAAGGUGUAAUGAUCGAUUACACAUGCUAAUGCAAGUGCACAAGUGAGUUAAUCCGAGCUAUAACUCGAGAUAUAUUAGGAGCUUAGAAGUUAAGUACUAAGAGCCACAGAUAUAAAGUAUCAAUAACCACGUUUUAACUGAAACAACGUAAAAACAACAGGCAGCAGUGAAAAAUUUUAUACAAUUUCUUUAAAGAAGAUAUAGAGAUCAUUUAUUUAUUUGUCUAAUUAAGUGCCAGCAGACGCGGUUAUACUUAAGAAUAAAGUCUUUAUUUAACACUAGGUAAAAAAUGCAACUAGAAAACCAAUAUAACUAUAAUCAAGCUUAAUAAAUUGGUAAAAUAAAUAUUAAUUGGAAAACCAAAAACUAAAGUAUUAUGGUAAUUUAAAUUGAAUUGCUAAAGAUAGGAUCGCUAACAGGAUUAGAGACCCUGGUCGUCCUUUCUGUCAAUAAAGUUAGAACUAUCUGAAUAGUCCAUUCGCAAGAAAUAAAGUCAAAAAAUCUGGCUGUUUACUUUCCAUUUAGAGGAGUUUGUAAUUUAAUACGAUAAUCCACGUAAAAUCUUACUUUUGUUUGAAAAUACAGGUGCUGCAUGGUCGUCUUCAGCUUAUCUUUAAAAGUAUUAGCUAAAACCUCAUUAGGUUAAAGUCAGGUUGUAUGGCCCCUAUACAAAAGGAUAUUAUGCACUACAGUGCUUAAUUUACUUAAAAGUUAAAAUUGAACAUAAAUUGAAAAAUUUAUAGAAAGAGGAUUUAAAAGUAAUCGAAAAGAAUAGUGUUUUGGUGAAUUGGUUCAAGUAUGAGUACAAAUUGCCCGUCACCUUUGUUUGUCUCAGUUGCAAGAAAAAUUUAGAUUUACUUGAACUCUCAAAACAAAGCAAGUCGUAACAUAGUGAGAGAAAGGGAACUUUCUCUUGCAGAGUUUGUUUUAAAACAAUAUCAAUUUUAUAACUCUGCUU
rnacentral:rRNA from 1 species